CUUCCCCCGCCGCGCCGGGGCUGUCUGUGGGUACUUCUCUCUCUCUUCUCUUUUCUCUCGCUCCGUCUCUCUCAGUCCUUUGGAAUGGGUGGAUAGAAAGUGCUCGGACUCUCGCUCUCACUUAAGGGGCUGCUUGGAGGUGGCGAACGACGCCCCCUGCCACCUGCUACCCUUCUCAGCACCCCAAUCUUGCUCACGCGCGACGUCUGCCUGGGAUUCCGAUACCUGGACGGGCAGUGAGGUUGGGGGUGACCUGGUGGACCCCCUCGGCCCAUCAAGACAGAUGUCCUCGGGGUUGAGGGUGGCCGCCACCGGCAGGCAAGUCCGGGCGGCGCCCCCGGGACCAGGCGCGCUGGGCAAGGCGGCUCCUUCGCACGCUGGGCUGAGCCUGGAGCUCCGCGGCUUGGGCACUAGCGACGCCGCCGAGGUCCACCUUAGUGGGGUUGGGCGACGUCGCCCCUGCGACCGUGCUCUCGGGACUUGGGAGAGGAAAGAGAAAAGACAAGAACCGGAGGGAAGGAACCAUCGUUGUUCUAUAUCUGUUUUUUUAAAAGAGGCAACGAGUUCCCGGGAAGACUGGGUUAGCCGAGGCAAGCCGCAGAGUGCUGCCUAGAAGCGCACAGGUCAAUGCCAUGGCCAAGAUUUGUCGGGUGCCUCGAGUCACUACCACGUUAACACCGGGACAUAAAAUAACCACCAGCGUGGGGAGGUAUGCCCACCUUGCUCAUCUGUUGGCAAGAAGCAAAUGCAAAACAUAACAGGAUAACGCUCAGAACCACAGUUCUUUCAUUAGACAAAAGCCAAUUUUUACCUUCCCGCGACCGUCUGAACCUUUGGAACUUUUAUUUGCGGCAUUUUGGCGCCCUCUGGCUGUGCCCGGAUUGCUUUCCGGCUCGCCAACAACCCAGCAAAGCGAAGCAGGGAGCUGCGAGUUCUCUUUUAAGGUGGAUCUGCCCUCCCGACCUGUGCGUGGAUUGGGGCGGGGGGAUUUUCCCACCAAAAUCGAGGCUACAAAAUGCAACCAUAUUUUAAAAGGAAGGACGCCAAAGGCAAGUAAGUACAUCUGCAUUCGACGGGGGAAAGGAGGUUGGUACUGAGACUAAAUUUUCGCUUCUGAUCAGAACCCUGAUGAUGGUGAUGUUACUUCCUACCACCGGGACCUCCACCUGAAGUGACUCACAUCUCACACUAAAAGGUUAGAGAAACACAGCAAAGUAGAAAGGAAAAUUAAAUGAUGACUACUAUUACUGGAAGAAAUGCAAUUACUU